rnacentral:rRNA from 1 species
UACGAAGGGUGCAAACGUUGCUCGGAAUUAUUGGGCGUAAAGCGCACGUAGGCGGCAUUGCAAGUCGGAUGUGAAAUCUUAUGGCUUAACCAUAAAAGUGCAUCCGAAACUGCAGUGCUUGAGUACUUAAGAGGAUCGCGGAAUUCCCGGUGUAGAGGUGAAAUUCGUAGAUAUCGGGAGGAACACCAGUGGCGACGGCGGCGAUCUGGGAAGAUACUGACGCUGAGGUGCGAAAGCGUGGGGAGCAAACAGG